rnacentral:lncRNA from 1 species
AGAGUAAUGAACAGCUCAGAGUAAUCAAGGCUUCUCAGUGGGAAGAGGAAAAGUCACCCCGUAGACUGAGCCAUGUUAUGGGAGAGGCAGGGUGCUCAGUGGAGGGAGUCCCACAGAGGCAAGGAGGACGCCCCAGGGCACCAGGGCAAACCGGAUUCUUUGGCACUGCUCUGAACAACAGCUUCUGCAUCUCAGUGUGGAAUGACCUCAGGUUUCAAGAUCACAGGGCCAUCUCCUCCCUGUCCCCAGCUCCUUCCUCUCUCAGAAUAAACUUGUUCUAAGUCAA